UCAGAGUGUGCUCUUUCGAUUGUCCACCCAUGAUGUAUGUUCUCCCCACUCUCUACAAUGUGCAGCCAGUGUUAACUCAGAGGGGCUGGCCUGGGGCUGUGUAGCCAAGCAGCUGCAGGAGCCCCUCACCCUUCUUAGUCACAUCAGUCCCAUUUCCAUGUA